GUUUUUCAUUCUUUCUUGCACCGAAUUUAAACAAAAAGAAAAAGAAAGAACACAAGACUAGGUUCGGCCAUCUUCCAAGUAAAAAUCAAGAUCAAGAACUAAAGAAAUCAGAUUUGGACCAGGAAAAACGAAAGUUGUCGAUUAACAGCCCCGUCCUGUUUUACGACGUCCGAGAUUUAGAAGUCAAGCUGCAAGCUCGGGGACUGUCAGCCAAGCUCAUUACACUAUCAACUAUUUUGGUACCUUUAUAAGUCAAACUUAAAUUAUGGCAUGUAUAGGCUGACUUAUAUUUUAAAAUGUUGGAUUUAUUUUAUGAAUGUGUGUAUUUAAAAGCCAUGCCAAAAUGGCUAAAUCCUUAGGUUUAAUUUUAGUUAUGUUUCGGUUGUGGUCUAAUGUGUUUUAGUUAUAAUGUUGCAUGGCAUGAUAAAUAUAUUAUAUGUGUUAAUUGUUGUAUGUUUGAAAAA